ACGGAAGGCAGCAGUGGGGAAUAUUGCACAAUGGGGGAAACCCUGAUGCAGCGACGCCGCGUGAGUGAAGAAGUAUUUCGGUAUGUAAAGCUCUAUCAGCAGGAAAGAAAAUGACGGUACCUGACUAAGAAGCCCCGGCUAACUACGUGCCAGCAGCCGCGGUAAUACGUAGGGGGCAAGCGUUAUCCGGAUUUACUGGGUGUAAAGGGAGCGUAGACGGCUUUGCAAGUCUGAUGUGAAAGGCAGGGGCUCAACUCCUGGACUGCAUUGGAAACUGUAGAGCUGGAGUGCCGGAGAGGUAAGCGGAAUUCCUAGUGUAGCGGUGAAAUGCGUAGAUAUUAGGAGGAACACCAGUGGCGAAGGCGGCUUGCUGGACGAGAACUGACGUUCAGGCUCGAAAGCGUGGGGAGCAAACAGGAUUAGAUACCCUGGUA
rnacentral:rRNA from 1 species